rnacentral:rRNA from 1 species
AGAUAGCCUGCAUGUCUAAGUAUAAGCAAUUAUACCGCGAAACUGCGAAUGGCUCAUUAUAUAAGUUAUCGUUUAUUUGAUAAUACUUUACUACUUGGAUAACCGUGGUAAUUCUAGAGCUAAUACAUGCUGAAAAUCCCGACUUCGGAAGGGAUGUAUUUAUUAGAUUAAAAACCAAUGCCCCUCGGGGCUCUCUGGUGAAUCAUGAUAACUAGUCGAAUCGACAGGCCUUGUGCCGGCGAUGGCUCAUUCAAAUUUCUUCCCUAUCAACUUUCGAUGUUUGGGUAUUGGCCAAACAUGGUGGCAACGGGUAACGGAGGGUUAGGGCUCGACCCCGGAGAAGGAGCCUGAGAAACGGCUACUACAUCCAAGGAAGGCAGCAGGCGCGCAAAUUACCCAAUCCCGACACGGGGAGGUAGUGACAAUAAAUACUGAUACAGGGCUCUUUUGGGUCUUGUAAUCGGAAUGAGUACAAUUUAAAUCCCUUAACGAGGAACAAUUGGAGGGCAAGUCUGGUGCCAGCAGCCGCGGUAAUUCCAGCUCCAAUAGCGUAUAUUAAAGUUGUUGUGGUUAAAAAGCUCGUAGUUGAACCUUGGGCCUGGCUGGCCGGUCCGCCUCACCGCGUGCACUGGUCCGGCCGGGCCUUUCCCUCUGCGGAACCCCAUGCCCUUCACUGGGUGUGGCGGGGAAACAGGACUUUUACUUUGAAAAAUUAGAGUGCUCAAGGCAGGCCUAUGCUC